UUCUACGGCCAUGCCACCCUGAACAUGCCCGUCUCGUCUGAUCUUGGAAGCUAAGCAGGGUCGGGCCUGGUUAGUAUUUGGAUGGAGACCACCUAGGAAGACCAGGUGCUGUAGGUG
rnacentral:rRNA from 1 species